UACACGACACUCUUCCAGUCUGCCCCAUAUUAUUGUUAUGAUUAUUUUUCCAAAAGGAAAAGCAAGGCUGAUUUUCUGAGCUGGA